GGGCCGUUAGCUCAGCUGGCUAGAGCGCCUCCAUGGCAUGGAGGAAGUCGCAGGUUCAAAUCCUGUACGGUCCACCA
rnacentral:tRNA from 1 species